rnacentral:rRNA from 1 species
GGCCUAUUGAAAGAAGAUUUUAGGUCUAGCCUGCCCUCUGAUGUAUUUAAAUGGCCGCAGUAUUUUGACUGUGCUAAGGUAGCAUAAUAAUUAGUUUUUUAAUUGAAAGCUAGAAUGAAUGGUAUUAUGAAAAAAUUACUGUCUCUUUUAAAAAAUUAAAAUUUUAUUUUUAAGUUAAAAAGCUUAAAUAUUAUUAAAAGACGAGAAGACCCUAUAGAAUUUUAUUUAAAUUAAUUUUUAAUAAGUUAGUAUAUAAAAUUUAAAAAUAAAUUUAUAUUUAGUUGGGGUGAUUAGAAAAAUUAAAUAUCUUUUUUUCAUAUAAACAUUAAUUUAUGAUUUUAUGAUUCACAUUAGUGAUUUAAGAAUAAAUUACCUUAGGGAUAACAGCGUAAUUUUUUUUUAGAGUUCUAAUCAAAAAAAGAGAUUGCGACCUCGAUGUUGGAUUAAAAUUUAUUUUUGGUGUAGUAGCUAAAGUAUUAAGUCUGUUCGACUUUGAAAAUUUUACA